UAGGGAAUCUUCCACAAUGGACGAAAGUCUGAUGGAGCAACGCCGCGUGAGUGAAGAAGGGUUUCGGCUCGUAAAACUCUGUUGUUGAAGAAGAACAUAUCUGAGAGUAACUGUUCAGGCAUUGACGGUAUUUAACCAGAAAGCCACGGCUAACUACGUGCCAC
rnacentral:rRNA from 1 species